GGCCUUCGGGUUGUAUUUCACUUUCAGCGUGGACGAAUGCGUUAAGGUUAAUCACCUUGGCGACUGUCGUUACCCGCAGAAGAUGCUCUGGCUUACCCCGUGCCUCUUGCCGCGGUUUUACGGUGUGGGCAAUCGUUAAUCGGUUUCACUUGGCGUAAAGUGCUCUCUGGCUGUCUGUCAUCUCCUAUGACUAUUCCCAGGGCUCAAUCUGGGGAUUGCAUUUGUAAGUGGCAGUUUAGUGUACAGUUGUGGA
rnacentral:rRNA from 1 species